rnacentral:tRNA from 3 species
UCGUAGUGCAGUGGUUAACACGUCUGCCUGUCACGCAGAAGAUCGCGGGUUCAAUCCCCGUCGA